UUUGACGCCAAAGGGCACUCCCUCGUCUUCUCGCCUGUAUCGAUCGAUCUCAACGCCGGCCGACCGGCCGCCGGAGUGUCCCUUCCGUCUCCUCCUCCCUUGCAUUCUCCUCGCGCCACCCCACCCCUCCCCGCCCGGACUGUUGGUUCACUUCGGAGUCAGUGAGCGGCCACCGUGCGAGGCUGCGGCCGUGCGGCGGCACUACGCCGCGCUCCUCUCCUCCGCGGCGCCGCCUCGCUGACGUCUCUCUCUCUGGUGGCCACCCUCCACGCUGCCGCGCUCCGGAGAGGCGCGGUCCAGCGAGGUGUCCGCGCACGGGUCGCCGCCGGACUCCGCGCGCAUACUGUUCGACGAAUUGCCCGCACCACAGACGGUGCCGGGUGGUGCUCGGCACUGUUCCGCCGACGGGAGGGGGAGAUGGAUGACAAGGCGUGCGCGAGGGCCGGGAUGGUGGGCGAGGGGAGGGAGGUGUUCGGGAGGAUGACGACGCCGGCACUGCAGCACUCUACGUCUACGGUGGAGAUGCUGGGAAGGGCAGGCGAGGUCGAGGAGGCAGAGGGGCUGAUGAAGCCGAUGGAGGCGCCCCCGGACAGGGUGAUGUGCAUGGUGCUGCAUUCCGCCUCCGGGCGCAUGGCCGUGUCGAUGUUGCUGAGAGAGAGAGUGGCCAAGUCGAUGUAUGGCAAUGCAUGAAUUUGGUCAAACUGAAUAUCAGAGGUCUCUGACACGGAUGCUUCCCUACCGCGUGCUGAACAAGAAAUCGUUCCUAUUGUGCACUGAAUUGACCAAUACAAUGGCCGUUUUCCUAUAGCUCCUCACAGUACAACUCAGGUUUUCUAUGGAGCUGAGAUGGUCAGAAGACAGGCUCUUUCCCCGAGUGACUCCGAGUUGCAGCAACCGCUUCAAAAUUCCAGUUUAUAUGGCCCUGAUGGAGCGAAUUCCGAGUUAGUCGAACGGAGAAGCAAAGCACUGGCCGUGCACUUGUAUACGUACAGAAGCUCCAUCUGGAACUCCUCUUUCGUGGCUUCUCUUCCUAAACCUAGCACCAACAGUUCGCAUAGAUGUUUGUAGUGAAGUGAAGCGUCCCGUAUUAUGUUCGACGAGGGUUGCAGCUGUAGGCAGGUACCUUGGAUUUGGUCCCUGCUGCAUCAUUUUAUCAGUUGUUUGUCGUCUCUAACGGCAACUCGCGCCGUGCCUUCCUGUUUGGAUGUGACGACCUCUUGCUGAUAAUUUUGGUAAUGUAAUCAUGCUUUGGUUUUCUGCUCAAAAGAUGUUGGAACUACACUACGCAGUGUUGAAUUAUUUCUUAUGUUGGAAUGCGUAGUGUAGUUCAUGAUC